GUGGAAACAGUGGUAUCAUGGAUGCACACAAGCAGUGAAAUGAAUGAAAUAUGGUUGUGUUUGUUGAUGGUUGCAUUUGCUAACAUGGGAGGUGUAAAAAAAUGGUAGCGUAAAGAUGACCUGAAGAUUCUGAACUUGAGCGCAUUUAACUUCCAGCAAUUAAAGCAACAUAGAAAGAGUAUACUUUUAGGUUUUAGUUUUAUUUUUCAAGGCGGAGUAGUGCAGAAGCAGAGUUCAGUAUUAGACGGCUAUCAUUAAUUAUUUAAAUAGAGUCAAAAAAGUUAAAUACAUGAGUAGAAAUUUGAUGGAGAGAUCUGAGCUGUAAUUAUGAUUUUGGAAAUCCUCAGAAUAGAGAUGGUAUUUAAUGACACGGGACUGGAUGUUUCUGUUUUGUGCUUCAUACUGGUGUUGGCCUUUUUCCAGGGUCUAUUUCUUCCUCUUAAAGUGUACCUUCCCUGGAGCUCCAACCUAAUGCCUGAAGUCCUCAGUGAGGUCCCUCCACUCUUCCUGUCUAAGCUGAAACUUCAACAUCUUCAGGAGUGUGUGACACCUGCGCAACAGUGCUUAGCAGCAGCACCAACAUGCCUCCUCUUUUCAUGAAACCAGCAGCUCAGCCCAGUUCAGAACUCCUGCUGGAGAGAUGAUUCAGCUGUUUGCAGGAAAAAGACCCUCUGAAUUUGUGAGUUUUCAGAGAUUUUGUGCUGAUUCUUUCUCAUCUUUGUGGGUUUGUCUUCUUUCAGUCUUUGACAUUGCUAACCUUUUGAUUUUUGUUUGUUUGUUUGCUUGCUUUCAUCUUAUUUGAUUCCUUUGAGGUUUUGAUUGUGGUAUAAGGUGGAUUCAGUUGACUGGCUUCAUUUCUGGAAGAUUUUAGGGGACCAACACUCUGCUCCCAAAUCCUGAACUGUGUGUUCUAACUGGGAGACACAUAUUGGAACCCAACUUUGCUCUCUGUCUUCUCAAGGUUAGGAAUCUACUGAGCUGGGGAAUUCGAGGUGUUCCCAGACCCCCAAGUCACUACACUCCAAUGGAUGGUGUCAGCCAAAGCCUUUCAUAGUACAGUGACAGCAGGAUCCAUCCUCACAUUCCAGCAAUAGCAGUAGUGGAAGCUGUGGCAGAGUGCUAGUGGGUUCUGAGGUGCCUGCCUCCCUUGCAGCUUGGUUUCAGGGGAAGGUGGGGGCAGCUGGGGACCCCUGCUGGAGACUUUGUGAACAGCUGUGCUCAAGGUGGUAUUGGCUCAGGGGCCAGGCAGUGGCAGGCAUAGGUCUGGGUACCUUCUCUGUUCCCUUCAAGCAGGAGUGAUGGCUCAGGAUGGAGGAGGAUCCACUGUUCUCUGUAUAGUGUUAGUACAAGGGUGGGGUGCUUGUAGGUGUGGGGCUUGCUGGCUCUGUGCCCUCCAAGGUUCUAUCUGCAAUGGCAUUCUGGAAGGGAAGGAGAGGCAGAUUGGACUCCAGCAUGCUGUCAGUGCCAGGAAAGCAAAACCUACCUGCACAGAUAUACACCAACAGAGCAUUCUGGGGGGGUUGCCUUGAGCCCGGGAGGAAGCUACAAUUUAGGGAGGGAGCAUGUAGGCUCGGGCCUCGACAUAGGUGCUGCCCCACUGGAGCUGUCUGCCAGUCCCACACAGUCUGCCAGCACAGAAACUAUAACACAGGCCCCAGAUCACUUGGGGCUGCCCUGCAAGUAGGCAGUCAUGCUGGGGCUCUGGAAGAGGCCAGUAGACCAGGGAGUGCUCAGGUCAGACUGUCCCUAUCUAUUGGACAAACCCCAUUUUGCAGUGUUCAGAUCCAGCAGUUCCUCUAGGGCUAAUGUUUCCUAUGGGAGCAAGUCAAGCCUAGCAGGAUGGCCAUCUCUGGCCUUAAUCUGCUACAGAUGCUCCUGCACAAAAACCUCUGGACUCCACAUCAGCUGGCUUACUGCCCCUACCACUUCUCUAAGCAGCUCUCUCUGCCAAUUUGAAUGCCUGCAGCAGUUGAGGGGUCUCCUGCCAGUGCUCCAGAGGCCUGUGGUAAGGGCAGCUUGCUCUUUGCCAUUUCAACUCACCCAUUCCUCCAGAGCCAUUGGUGGCCAGGAACGAGACUGGGUACAAUUUAUCUACAUGUAGGGUUCCCAACAUUCUCCUCCUUCUGCCAGCUUCCGUGUCCUCCCUCUGUCCACUCUUGAGAAGAAUGGUUAGGAGCAUGUCAGGAGUAUGCCAGUCGUCUCAGUCUCUAGGUAGGAGCUGUUCCACCUGUCUGCAUUUAGUUGGCCAUCUUACUGCAUAUGAUUCUUUUGCUAUACCAAAGCUCUGAUCAA